rnacentral:lncRNA from 1 species
AGUUUCUGGCCUCAGAAGAAUCCAGGCAGCUCAGCUACCACUGCAAAGUAACUUAGAUAGGUAAACGUUUUAUUAGAGAAAAGGCAACCCUAAAUAUCUUGCAAGACCAAGUCUUGUCCUGCUUACACUCUUCCCCCUCAACUACCUUCAAGAGAGAAGCAGCUGAAAAACAGCCAGGAUUGACCCCUGGCAGAGGUGGAGGAUGGCAGCAGAAGAAUGGAGGUCCCCCUGGGUUAGCAGGCUGAAGGCAGCUUGGCUUGGCCUAGAGGGCUCAACCAACAGGGAGGAUGUGUGGGGGAAGGGAGUCGGGAGGGGGAAGGGAGCUUAUAGUUAUGGUUCAGGAAUCUGAUGGAGAUGGAAGAGAGGCAAAGCAAGAAUAGAGGUCUCCCUGGGAUGGUUUGUGGGCUGUCCAAGCUAACAUCAUCUGUUUUUUAUAUCCUGGAUUGGGUAGUAAAUAAUAAAAAUAAUAUGGGAGGAGUUAACUGUAGAAGGACCUGCAGCAUCUGCACUUCGGAGCCAUCUAUGUCCCAGUCUCAGGCAGGCUGCAGUGCAAGCAGUCUGUACAGCAGGUCUGGCUGCCCCCUCUCCUGUUUAGACGUCGGGGAUAUGAGAAAGCAAGCACUGGAAAGCUUGCUCAGACAGAGAUCACCAGAUCAGCAUGCUGUGCCUGUUGCCUUCAGAUCAAGAUGCAGAACUCUCAACUCCUCCCAUGCUAUGCCUGCCUGAACAAUGCCACAGUUCCCCAUUGAUAAUGGACUGAACCUCAGAACUUGUAAGCCAGCCCCAAUUAAAUAAUGUCUUUGAG